rnacentral:rRNA from 1 species
UACGGAGGGUGCGAGCGUUGUUCGGAAUCACUGGGCGUAAAGCGCGUGUAGGCGGCCCACUAAGUCUGAUGUGAAAGCCCGAGGCUCACCCUCGGAAGUGCAUUGGAAACUGGUGGACUCGAGUCCCGGAGAGGAGAGUGGAAUUCCUGGUGUAGCGGUGAAAUGCGUAGAUAUCAGGAGGAACACCGAUGGCGAAGGCAGCCUUCUGGGCCAACACUGACGCUCAUGCACGAAAGCGUGGGGAGCGAACAGG